UACGUAGGCAGCGAGCGUUGUUCGGAAUUACUGGGCGUAAAGAGUGUGUAGGCGGUGCUCUAAGUUCGGUGUGAAAUCUCCCGGCUUAACUGGGAGGGUGCGCUAUAGACUGUGGGGCUAGAGUGUGGGAGAGGAAAGUGGAAUUCCUGGUGUAGCGGUGAAAUGCGUAGAUAUCAGGAGGAACACCGGUGGUGUAAACGGCUUUCUGGACCAUAACUGACGCUGAGGCACGAAAGCGUGGGUAGCAAACAGG
rnacentral:rRNA from 1 species